GUCCCUGUAGCGCAAUGGAUAGCGCGUUGGACUUCUAAUCCAAAGGUCGUGGGUUCAAAUCCCACUUGGGAUG
rnacentral:tRNA from 1 species